UAAUUGAUGACUUCCUGCUCGACGAAAAC
rnacentral:sRNA from 1 species